UACGAAGGGGGCUAGCGUUGUUCGGAAUUACUGGGCGUAAAGGGCGCGUAGGCGGUUUUGUAAGUCUGACGUGAAAUCCCCGGGCUUAACCUGGGAAUUGCGUUGGAGACUGCAAGGCUGGAGUCUGGCAGAGGGGGGUAGAAUUCCACGUGUAGCAGUGAAAUGCGUAGAGAUGUGGAGGAACACCGAUGGCGAAGGCAGCCCCCUGGGUCAAGACUGACGCUCAUGCACGAAAGCGUGGGGAGCAAACAGG
rnacentral:rRNA from 1 species